CCAGAACUGUGAGAAAUAACUGCGUCUUGCUUAUAAGAUGCCCAGUCUAUGUUAUUCUGUUAUAAAAGCCCAAAUGGACUAAAGCAAUAGUAUAACUAAUGCUAUAGUUGUAAUUCAGGUUGACACAGAACAGUUGAAAACAAAAAUUGAGCAUAAGGGGUAUAAUGAACGAAGUGAAGCUUAUAUGAGAAAUGAAGCAUGACUCAAAAUAUAAAUGAUAAGUAAGUUAAAAGCGAAUGACUGAGAACUUGCAGGAAGACUCAAAUCUCACAGCUUCUUAACUCCACACUCCUGAAAUCUUUCACUCGUUGUUCAGGCCCUUUUGGUUCCCAUCUGAAAACCCAGGCCCCUGAUUCAGCUAAUUGCCCCAGUCCUAUUCCUCAAAACAUCCCAAAGGCAAAAUUAGGAAGCUAACUGGGACUUGGACCUGAGGAAUGGCCUGUUCCUGCGAUGUCAGGAAGGAAAGGUCAGAGGAGGAGAAAUUCCUUUUUCCUCACCAGGAGAAGGACAUGAGUUUCUCACAUCUCAGCAUGGGAUUCUAUGUGCUUAUUGGCUCAAGAUUAUUUUAAAGGUGAAAAGAUCCUCAUUAUGAAGCCAGAGAUUAAAAGGAUAGCCAUCAACCUGCUACUAAAAUAAUUUGAAGAUAAUUCAGGGCCUGGUUUCUCCUCAUUUGGAGUAUAAUCACAUCUCUAGAACAUGGGUUUCCGAUGCUGGAUUUGCACCAGGAGAUGCUCAUUGCAAGGAUUCAAAUUCAGAAGACUGUACCAAAUAUUAGUGAAUUUCUAUGAAAGAGUGGACAGAUUUAUGAGAAAGUGUGGAGCUAUGAGAAGGCCCUCACCGGUGUAAGAGAUCAAAGAAGACAAGGACAGAGAAAAAGUCCUCGGAUUGGACAUGACACAUGAAGAUGUAGUUUUUCAGAGAGUGUUAACAUAUUAGGGGAAAUUCCUCUUCGUGAUAGUUAAAAGCAGAGCCUUCUCUGACUCCCUUCUCACCCUAGUCGGUAUUUAUUGCUCUCACCAUAAUUGCUCUGGAAUGCCCCUACUAUAGCAUGAAUUAUCUUGUUUGGAAGCAUUACGUCUGUUUUCCCUUUCUUCAUCCCACAGCUGUUCAGUCUUGUGUACCACCAGGUAGCUACCAGAAAGGAAUAAAAUCCUUAGUAAGCACAAACCUAGAUGCCACUCAGUUGCUAAACAUUCAUGAUGGCCCUUUUUAGUCUUUAUUUGCACUUUUGGGUUUCCAGAACUGGGUUUACUUUCAUCGAAUCUUUGUUCUGUGCAAUAAAAAUCAAUGUGCUUUAGCAUGGUAAGGCACAGUACAUAGUCUUACCUUCAGAGUUUGAUUUGCAUUUUGUUGGGAUCAUACAAUAAUAAAAGUAUUUUUAUUUAAACUGUUUUUAAUAAAAAUCACACGUGUUUAAUGCAUGCAUAUUGAUGAGUUUGGACAUAUGC
rnacentral:lncRNA from 1 species